rnacentral:rRNA from 1 species
CCUACGGGAGGCAGCAGUGAGGAAUAUUGGUCAAUGGCCGUAAGGCUGAACCAGCCAAUUCGCGUGAAGGAAGAAGGAUCUAUGGUUUGUAAACUUCUUUUAUAGGGGAAUAAAGGUAUCCACGUGUGGAUAUUUGCAUGUACCCUAUGAAUAAGCAUCGGCUAACUCCGUGCCAGCAGCCGCGGUAAUACGGAGGAUGCGAGCGUUAUCCGGAUUUAUUGGGUUUAAAGGGUGCGUAGGUUGUUUUUUAAGUCAGCGGUGAAAGGUUGUGGCUCAACCCUAAAAUUGCCGUUGAAACUGGAGGACUUGAGUGUGUUUGAGGUAGGCGGAAUGCGUGGUGUAGCGGUGAAAUGCAUAGAUAUCGCGCAGAACUCCGAUUGCGAAGGCAGCUUACUGAGCCAUAACUGACACUGAGGCACGAAAGCGUGGGGAUCGAACAGGAUUAGAUACCCGGGUAGUC